ACUCCUACGGGAGGCAGCAGGAGGAAACAUCCCGCAAUGGACGCAAGUCUAACGGAGUGAUACUACAUGAAGGAUGAAGGUCUAAGGAUUGUAAACUUCUUUACUAGUAAGUACUGCUUUCGGGCUUGCUUGCUAGCAACAAGUCACGACUAACUAUGUGCCAGCAGCCGCGGUAAU
rnacentral:rRNA from 1 species